UGUCUAGAGAUGCAAUCAAAGAUUGAAAUCCCGGCCGAGCUGCACACGUUUACUAGAACUGUCAUUUCCAUUUCAAACUACACAAGUCUAAACAGACUAUCACCGCUGACACUAAGCGCCUCAGAAGCCAGCUAUGGGCAAUUGCAGAAAUGACUGCUGAAUCAACCCUCUAUGAAGACAUGGAUGUCACUGCAGUUAUGCAAGACAGCAAGAGUGGGGAUCACAUAUGGUAUGAGACCACAGAUCAUCAUGAAACGUCGGUUUAAUCUUAAUGCAACAAAAGGUAGAGAAGUCUUUGGUAGUGAUUUUUUUGCUCUUUCGGCGUUUUAUAUUAAAUUUGUACUAAGCAGUGCUUGUUUUUUUGCUCUACCUUUGACUUGACAAUUGUUGGCUUGUUUGUCUAUCGCUUGCAUGCUUGUAAGAAUCACAACAACCUGAUAUCUGUUUUAAUUAUCUGUUUGUGAAAAGAUAACAUUGCAGUGUUUCUCGA